UUUUGCUUCAUUUCUAUAUUGGAGACAGUUUGAAAUAGUUGUUUUACGUUACAAGUGGUCAUUCACGGUUUGCCAAGGGUAAAUUAAAACUUAUCGAAAGUGUACAGAUACAACAUCAACAGUAAGAACAUUAAAAAAUAAAAACAACAAAAAGCGAAUCGGCUCAUGAUGAACGACACGUUAGUUUUCGUAUACAACAUUCAUCGAAUUUUCAAUUUCUAUCUAUUUGUCACUACAUUACCACUCUCUGAGUUAUUUUUUACAACAAAGGCCUAAUUACAUUGAAUCAGCGAAAUCAGACUGUCACUGUACUCAAUACUUAUUUUAAAUACCUUAAUAAUUCCAACAAUGAAUCCGAGAAAAAGCUCCAGCUUCUACAAAAUGUACUAAUAGGAACUGAUCUUUAUGGUGGCGGCGAAAAUGAAACACUUGAUUUGCAAUAUGUAAAUGAAACAUACCAGUAAAUCAUCAACACUGCUCUAUUUUCUCACUAUUGUAACGUUAACGAAUAUUUAACAGGAAUAAUCAACAAGGCAAAUAAUACAACUUACAAAAUCAUGUUUAAAAACAAACAAUAGCAAAAAACUCAAUUUUUUGUCUGUUAAAAAAGUUUUUUUUGAAUAUAUAUACUGCCAAUAUUUCCCGUGCCAGAAAAUACAGAUAUGAACAUAAUGGAAGUGGAUUAUAUAUAUGCAAUGGCUGGUUUAAAAAUUGUCAGAUUUAUACUUGGAAAAACUCAAAACGCUUCGUUUGGUGAUUACAUUUUAAUUUCACGAGAGUUUGAUUUACAAGAGCAUUACGGAAACGAAACUUAUGAAAUAGGGUUAAAAAUUUUCUUAAUACCGGCACUAUUUUUUUACGCCUCUAAAGAAAGAGAAAUAUUCAGGGAGAAAUAUCAAACUUCUUUAAAUAUGGAGUUUUGAAAUAAAGCUUAUGAAAAUUUAUUUUCACAUAUUAAUUUAACAAUGAAUAAAAUUGUACAGCAAUUUUAUUCAUUGUUAAAUUAAUAUGUGAAAAUAAAUUUUCAUAAGCUUUAUUCCAAAACUCUAUAUUUAAAGACCACUAGAUUAACUUCAUUGUAUCAAUUUUUAAAAGCUUUGGCUAGAACCGUUUCGCAGGAAAUUCUUAACAAGCACCUGUUAAAAGAUUUAUCCAUUACCUUCCUAAAAGUGAUAGAUCCUCGAUUUGAAUUAACCUUCACAUUAAGCAAGUUUGGUAACCAAUCAUUGCACAAGACAUAUAAAAUUAUGAUUCAAAAAAUUCUGAACAUUUCUAUAAAUAAAAAUCUAAAAUUGAUAUUAACAUCUAUGUUAAAAAAGCUUAAUACUAAUAUGAAAUUGUCAACCACAUUUAAUGGUUUAAUACCUAAGGUUUUACAUGAAGAGAAUAAUUAUAAACUCGUUCAAUACUAUUAUCCCGGCGGUGAGAACUUCUUUGGACCAACAUGCGUAUCAUCAUCAAGAAAUAUUGCAUAACUGAGAACCAUCGAAAGCAAUCCAUUUCAAGUUCCUGUAUUGAAAGUAAAGGAGGACAUGGAAAAAAUGUUUUAUCGUAAAUAUAAUCCAACAACUAAUGAAAUUUCUAAUCAAAAGUUAAAAAUGGAUAAAAAUGAUAUUCUACGAAGUAAUAUUGAUGUGUCUAAAAUGGAAAGAGGUGAGAUUAUUCGAAGACUUAUGCCUUAUCUUAAUCUAGAUGCAGAUAUAAAAAUAACAAAAAAUUAUCAACUUUAUUAUAAUACGAUUGAAUGGAAUAUACCACCAACGAAAUCUGUUAAUCCAGGUAUACUUCACAAAGAAGCGUGCCAAUGGAUAAUAUUCUUUAUACUGAACAAUUGGCUGAAUAUAACUUCAGAUCUAGAUUUAUGUUUGGACUUAAUGACUAUGAGAAAAUUUUAUUAUCUUUAAACGAUUUAAAAGAUUUAAAACUUGAAAAAUUGGCUAAUUUAUACAAAGAGAAAGAAAACCCAAGUAGCACGAUAUAUCAACCAGAUGUCACGGUGAUAUCACUGGGGAAUGUCAUCGUGACAUCAGGAAAAUGUCAAAAUGUCCGCCUUACGGUGAUAUCACACGGUGAUAUCACACGGUGACAUCGAGGUGAUAUCACAGUCAUAUCACGGUGAUAUCAUGGUGACAUCGAGGUGAUAUCAUAGUCAUAUCACGGUGAUAUCAUGGUGAUAUCACUGUGAUAUCAUGUUGAUAUUUUACAGGUAUUUAAAAUUUUUUAAAAAUUAUUAUUUUUUAUUAUUUUUUAAAUUAUUAAAAAUUUUAAAUCCCUGUGAAAUAUCAACAUUGUUGCAAACAUAAUUUGAAUAAAAAAUUGUUUAAUUUUGUAAAAAUAAAAUAAUAUACAUCGAAAAUUUUAUUUGUAAAUUUAAAAAGAUUUUUUAAAUAAGUAAUAAAUCUUUCAUUUCAAUUACA